AUACGGAGGACGCGAGCGUUAUCCGGAUUCAUUGGGUUUAAAGGGUGCGCAGGCGGCCGUGCAAGUCAGCGGUGAAAGUCCGGGGCUCAACCCCGGAAGUGCCGUUGAUACUGCAUGGCUGGAAUGCGGUCAAGGCGGGCGGAACGUGGCGUGUAGCGGUGAAAUGCGUAGAUAUGCCACAGAACGCCGAGGGCGGAGGCGGCCCGCGCGGCUGGCAUUGACGCUGGGGCACGAAAGCGUGGGGAGCAAACAGGAUGAGAGCCCCUGGUAGCCCACGCCGUAAACGAUGGGCGCUCGUCGUCGGCGGCAGACAGUCGGCGGCCAAGCGAAAGCGAUAAGCGCCCCACCUGGGGAGUACGGUCGCAAGGCUGAAACUCAAAUGAAUUGACGGGG
rnacentral:rRNA from 1 species